rnacentral:rRNA from 1 species
UACGGAGGAUGCAAGCGUUAUCCGGAAUGAUUGGGCGUAAAGCGUCCGCAGGUGGCUGUGUAAGUCUGCUGUCAAAGAGCGAAGCUCAACUUCGUAAAGGCAGUGGAAACUACACGGCUAGAGUGCGUUCGGGGCAGAGGGAAUUCCUAGUGUAGCGGUGAAAUGCGUAGAUAUUAGGAAGAACACCGAUAGCGAAAGCACUCUGCUGGGCCUGAACUGACACUGAGAGACGAAAGCUAGGGGAGCAAACGGG